GAUGAACGCUAGCUACAGGCUUAACACAUGCAAGUCGAGGGGUAACGAGAGGAAAGCUUGCUUUCCUUGUCGACGACCGGCGCACGGGUGAGUAACGCGUAUCGAACCUGCCCCCAACUAGGGAAUAACCUUGCGAAAGUAAGACUAAUACCCUAUAAUUUCCUCAGAUGUCAUCUGACGAGGAAUAAAGAUUUAUCGGUUGUGGAUGGGGAUGCGUCUGAUUAGCUUGUUGGCGGGGUAACGGCCCACCAGGGCAACGAUCAGUAGGGGUUCUGAGAGGAAGGUACCCCACAUUGGAACUGAGACACGGUCCAAACUCCUACGGGGGGCAGCAGUGAGGAAUAUUGGUCAAUGGGCGGAAGCCUGAACCAGCCAAGCAGCGUGCAGGAUGACGGCCCUAUGGGUUGUAAACUGCUUUUAUACAGGAAUAAAGUUAGCCACGUGUGGUUAUUUGUAGGUACUGUAUGAAUAAGGACCGGCUAAUUCCGUGCCAGCAGCCGCAGUAA
rnacentral:rRNA from 1 species